rnacentral:rRNA from 1 species
AACGUAGGAGACAAACGUUAUCCGGAGUUACUGGGCGUAAAGCGCACGUAGGCGGUCCAGCAAGUCGGGUGUGAAAGCCCUCGGCUUAACCGAGGAAGAGCAUUCGAAACUACUGGACUUGAGUACUGAAGAGGAUCGCGGAAUUCCCGGUGUAGAGGUGAAAUUCGUAGAUAUUCGCAAGAACACCAGUGGCGAAGGCGGCUCACUGGCCCGGUACUGACGCUGAGGUGCGAAAGCGUGGGGAGCAAACAGG